AUUGAACGCUGGCGGCAGGCCUAACACAUGCAAGUCGAACGGUAACAGGAAGAAGCUUGCUUCUUUGCUGACGAGUGGCGGACGGGUGAGUAAUGUCUGGGAAACUGCCUGAUGGAGGGGGAUAACUACUGGAAACGGUAGCUAAUACCGCAUAACGUCGCAAGACCAAAGAGGGGGACCUUCGGGCCUCUUGCCAUCGGAUGUGCCCAGAUGGGAUUAGCUAGUAGGUGGGGUAACGGCUCACCUAGGCGACGAUCCCUAGCUGGUCUGAGAGGAUGACCAGCCACACUGGAACUGAGACACGGUCCAGACUCCUACGGGAGGCAGCAGUGGGGAAUAUUGUACAAUGGGCGCAAGCCUGAUGCAGCCAUGCCGCGUGUAUGAAGAAGGCCUUCGGGUUGUAAAGUACUUUCAGCGGGGAGGAAGGGAGUAAAGUUAAUACCUU
rnacentral:rRNA from 1 species